ACCGUAUCAAUGGUAGAGCACGCGGCUGUUAACCGCGCUGUCGUAGGUUCAAGUCCUACUCGGGG
rnacentral:tRNA from 2 species